rnacentral:tRNA from 1 species
CACUAUAUAAGUUAUGUAAACUAAAGGUUUGUGGAGCCUUAAAAAUCUUGUAUUGUAGUGU